rnacentral:rRNA from 1 species
UACGUAGGGUGCGAGCAUUAAUCGGAAUUACUGGGCGUAAAGCGUGCGCAGGCGGUUUUGUAAGUCUGUCGUGAAAGCCCCGGGCUCAACCUGGGAAUGGCGAUGGAGACUGCAAGGCUUGAAUCUGGCAGAGGGGGGUAGAAUUCCACGUGUAGCAGUGAAAUGCGUAGAGAUGUGGAGGAACACCGAUGGCGAAGGCAGCCCCCUGGGUCAAGAUUGACGCUCAUGCACGAAAGCGUGGGGAGCAAACAGG